AAUCAACGCUGGCGGCGUGCCUCAGACAUGCAAGUCGAACGCGAAAGUCCCCGUUCGGGGGACAAGUAGAGUGGCGCACGGGUGAGUAACACGUAGGUAAUCUACCUUUGGAUGGGGAUAACAAUCGGAAACGGUUGCUAAUACCGCAUAAUGCAGCGGCACCUAAUGGUGACAGUUGUUAAAGCGGGGGAUCGAAAGACCUCGCGUCUGAAGAGGAGCCUGCGGCGGAUUAGCUAGNGGUAAGGCAACGGCUUACCAAGGCGACGAUCCGUAGCCGGCCUGAGAGGGCGGUCGGCCACACUGACACUGACAUACGGGUCAGACUCCUACGGGAGGCAGCAGUCGGGAAUUUUGGGCAAUGGGCGAAAGCCUGACCCAGCAACGCCGCGUGAA
rnacentral:rRNA from 1 species